rnacentral:rRNA from 1 species
UACAGAGGGUGCGAGCGUUGUCCGGAAUCACUGGGCGUAAAGGGCGCGUAGGUGGUUUGGUAAGUGUGUGGUGAAAGCCCGGGGCUCAACCCCGGGUCUGCCGCGCAAACUGCUGAACUUGAGCAUACUAGAGGCAGGUUGAAUUCCGGGUGUAGCGGUGGAAUGCGUAGAGAUCCGGAAGAACACCAGUGGCGAAGGCGGCCUGCUGGGGUAGAGCUGACACUGAGGCGCGACAGCGUGGGGAGCAAACAGG